rnacentral:lncRNA from 1 species
GGCAUGUUCAAAGUCUAAUCUAUGUAUAGGUCCUUGAUUCAACAAAGACUUCUUCUAGAAAAAAAUUAUGAAAAUUAAGGAAACUAAAAACAAGGUUUUCAUUUGGUACACUACUAUAGUAUUUUUAACCGAGGCGGACAAAAAAGCUUUACCAAGGCAUUUUUGGCAGCCAUCUCGGAUCAAAGGUCACAGUAAAUGAGACCUUUUUAUAGGCGGUUGCUUGUCCACCUUGGUUAAUUGAAUUAAAAGAAAACAAAAAACAAAACCCACGGACAAGCCUGCCGAGCCGAUCCAUGCGCCACCGCGGUCAUAGCUCGCCGGACCACCAAGAUUCGAGCCGAUCCAUGUGCCACCGCGGUCAUAGCUCGCCGGACCAACAAGAUUCGGCCGCGCCAC